AUUGAACGCUGGCGGCAGGCCUAACACAUGCAAGUCGAGCGGAGCGGCGGACGGGUGAGUAAUGCCUAGGAAUCUGCCUGGUAGUGGGGGAUAACGUCCGGAAACGGGCGCUAAUACCGCAUACUAUCAGAUGAGCCUAGGUCGGAUUAGCUAGUUGGUGGGGUAAAGGCCUACCAAGGCGACGAUCCGUAACUGGUCUGAGAGGAUGGUCAGUCACACUGUACCUGAGACACGGCCCAGACUCCUACGGGAGGCAGCAGUGGGGAAUAUUGCACAAUGGGCGCAAGCCUGAUGCAGCCAUGCCGCGUGUAUGAAGAAGGCCCUAGGGUUGUAAAGUACUUUCAGUCGGGAGGCGUUACCGACAGAAGAAGCACCGGCUAACUCCGUGCCAGCAGCCGCGGUAAUUC
rnacentral:rRNA from 1 species